UACGUGGGGGGUAAGCGUUGUUCGGAAUUACUGGGCGUAAAGGGCUCGUAGGCGGCCAACUAAGUCGGACGUGAAAUCCCUCAGCUUAACUGGGGAACUGCGUCCGAUACUGGAUGGCUUGGAUUUGGGAGAGGGAUGCGGAAUUCCAGGUGUAGCGGUGAAAUGCGUAGAUAUCUGGAGGAACACCGGUGGCGAAGGCAGCUCGCUGGGACGGUACUGACGCUGAGGCGCGAAAGCGUGGGGAGCAAACAGG
rnacentral:rRNA from 1 species